rnacentral:rRNA from 1 species
AUAUCAGUCAUGCAUAGCAUAUCAAUAAGCGGAGGAAAAGAAACUAACAAGGAUUCCCUUAGUAACGGCGAGUGAAGCGGGAAGAGCUCAAAUUUGAAAUCUUCAAGGUUUUACCUUGACGAAUUGUAGUUUAAAGAAGUGUUUUCUGUUGAAGUUUUGGUAAAAGUUCUUUGGAAUAGGACAUCAUAGAGGGUGAGAAUCCCGUAUUUGACCAUUACUUUCAGCUUUGUGAUACACUUUCAAAGAGUCGGAUUGUUUGGGAAUGCAGUCCAAAAUGGGUGGUAAAUUUCAUCUAAAGCUAAAUAUUGGCGAGAGACCGAUAGCGAACAAGUACUGUGAGGGAAAGAUGAAAAGAACUUUGAAAAGAGAGUUAAACAGUACGUGAAAUUGUCAAAAGGGAAGCGUUUGACACCAGUGUUGUUUUCUCGAAAAUCAAUUAAAAAGAGUUGGAUUUUGUGUUGUAUUGACUUUAUCAGCUUUCUUCACUCUUUUCCAGCUUUUUUUAAUGCACUUUUCGUUUAACAAGUCAACAUCAGUUUCUUUUGUUGUAAAAAGGUCAUUGGAAGGUGGCUUUCUCUUCGGAGAAAGUGUUUAUAGCCUUUGACUCAUGCAAUCGGAGAGACUGAGGUCUGCAGCGUAGAUCCUUCGGGGUUAGAUACAUUUGUGCUAAGUUAUAGCUUUUCAUAGACAACUUGUUGACUAUGUUUAGUCUUGUAGCUUACUCGCUUAUGCUAUUUUACCUACGCUUAGGAUGUUGAACUCUAUCACACACAG